GACGAACGCUGGCGGCGUGCUUAACACAUGCAAGUCGAACGGAAAGGCCCUGCUUUUGCUGCGUGCUCGAGUGGCGAACGGGGGAGUAACACGUGAGUAACCCGCCCUUGACUUUGUGGUAACUUCAGGAAACAGGGGCGCAUACCGGAGAUGAUCUCCUGCUCCAUGGGGGGGGAUGGAAAGUUUCGGCGGUGGGGGCUGUACUCGCAGGUUAUCAGCUUGUUUGUGAGGUAGUUGAGUACCAAGGCUUUGACGGGUAGGCGGCCUGAGAGGUUUACCGGCCACCUUGCGACUGAGGUACGGCCCAGACUCCUAUGGGAGGCAGCGGUCGAGAAUAUUGCACAAUGGGCGGACGCCUGAUGCAGCAACGCCGCGUGCGGGAUGCUGGCCUUCGGGUUGUAAACCGAUUUCGCCUGUGACGUAGAGUGAGUGACGGUAAUGGGUAAAAAAGCACCGGCUAACUACGUG
rnacentral:rRNA from 1 species